AUGGUGUUACUUAUUUAUUUAUUCAUUCUUUCAUUCAAUAUAGGGUUGAUGUGUUGCACAUUUCCAGGGAGCAUCAGUGAUAUCAUCAUCUAUGUGGACAGUGCCCUUGAAGCUGUACAGGACACAACCUUCACAACCAUAUUCAGUUUGAUGAACAACAUAAACUGGGCAGCCAUCCUAAUGAUUUCAGCCCACUCUCCAGCAUCUCCCACCAAGAUCACACAUGGCCUCACACAGUAAAACCAGGACCUAAAAGCUGAAUGUCGACCUGCUCUUCAAAGGCCCUGUGUCCUCAUCUCUGUAAAGAAACAGCAUAGUGUCGCUAGGACCCACUUCUCAUUGGAAGUUGGUAAGUCUACACCCUCUGAUCUCACCUGUGCCCCCAGGGCAGCCCCUCCAGACGUCUCCCAGUAUGGUCCCCUUCUGAAAUGCCAUUUAGUGACUCUGCAGUCAAUAAGUUUGCCCACUAAGUUGGCCCUUGAGGAUAAUAUUAGAGGGUCUCUCUUAGACGUGCAUGUAGCUUUGAAUGGUAACAGAAGGCUGAUUCUUCACACUCUGGCAUGGUCAGGGUCAGGAGAAGCAAGGAAAGCCAAGGCCAGCUCUUGACCUCUAGGGACAAGGCCAUCAUAAAAGAGGAUUCUGGCAUCCAAAGAGCAUCCUUCAGAAGGCAGGACAAACCCCAGUUUUAUUUCACAAGUGGCUGCUGGGCAUCUGAAAUGGAAAGAAACACUGACCACUCCUGGUAAUAUCAGGCAGAAUGAAAUCAGUGUCCAAACAGACUUCCAAACCAAGAACUUCAGGAGAGCGACGGCAAGAGAAAUUACUGGCUUUCUCUGGUGUGGUGAAGGAUUUGGGAGCCAACCAGGUACAUGUGGGACCAUAUGCUUCCUUUGUCACACAUGUGAGUCAGGCAUUUCGAG
rnacentral:lncRNA from 1 species